CGAAGACAAUGCGGCAUAAAGGACAGUUAGGUUUUUAGAAGGGAAGGCAGGAAGUUUCGAUAAUUUGCUUAGAGUGAUGGGUAUAAUCUGUAGUUUGGUGGGACUGUCAUUAGAAUCUAGACGCUGAAGCUGUGAGGCCUUGGGGGUAGACCCGGAUUAGAGACCCGGUUAUUCCUUGGUGUAAAUAGGCGAAUGAGUUGAAUAGUUCCGAAUUGGUUACAAGCCGCCGGAGGAGUACGAACACAUGUUUAAAAAUCAAAGAACUUGGCGGCCAGCCAACCUACCAGGGGAACAUGUGCCUUAAUACGACGAUCCACGAUUUACCUUACCCCGCCUUGUAAAGAGCUCCUGGGCCUUGAGGGGUCCGGGGACAAGGUCAGCCGCUAUACCGCCGUUGUCACUUUCCGGUUUGAGUGAUAGGAAGGGGGGGAUAUGAUGUUGUGAAAGCGAAUUUGGGGGGAGGAGAGAGAUGUAUGGAAAUGCGUUUGGGUCUCUGUUAAAGAAGCGGGGUAUAUUAUGAAAUUUUGGCUAACGGUUGGUGGGCUUGGGACGACGGCACUAGAUUCAGAAGUUUUAGGCGGCUGCGAGUGUGGCUGUUUUAUUUGUGCUUAUGCAGGUAGCAGGGUUGGGAAAGCCAAGGCGUUUGAAGCAAUCGCAAAUUAUUGUAUAGUUGGGGCGUUGUGGUUCAGUCUUACAAAGGCGAGUACUGCGAUGGUACGUGCGUUUGUUUGGGGGAUCUUUUUCAGACAAAUCACCUGUAGCUUAACCGUCAGUAGGUNGAGUAUAAGAAAGCGGAUUUAGACGUAAGGUAGUUUAUGCCCUGUUUGUGGCGGCAUCAGGAAGACAGGUUGAGGUAGCGCAUAAACGGAGGGAGUAAGNGAUACAAACUAGGUUCUAGAUAAAAAAUUUGAAGGAAGAUUAAUAAUGAAGUUC
rnacentral:rRNA from 1 species